CCCUCAAAAGUCUCUCUCGAUCUCUGCACUCUCUCUCUCUCUCUCCAUCUCUCUCGCUCCGUCUCUCUCGCUCCAUCUCUCUCUAGCCCUGCGCUCUCUGCUCCUCUCUCUCCAGCCGAGACUUCUCCUUCCCAAGACGACGAUGAACGUCAAGGCGACCCUCCUGCUCGCCGUGCUGUGCCUGGCUCUGUUCCACGAGACGUGUGCUGCCCCUAAGCCCAGGCCCAUGCAAGGCCGCCUGGUCCGCCGGCCCCACGGACCCAGGCCAGACGGUGGCGACCCCCGAACAGGAGGCCUCAUGCGGGGCCACUACCUCAGGAGGCGGCGCCCUGCAGUGGCGUACAAAGUCCCCAUCGCUUGAUGAGCCGUCAACCCCUCCACGGCCUCUCCCUCUCUGUCUCUGGCCGUCUCAUCGUCACCACGGCGAGGGCCGUGACCCACGUGACCCACGUGCGACACGAGACCCACGUGACCCACGUGCGAUACGUGACCCACGUGCGACACGUGACCUGCCCACCAACUCAACUGCCCACCUGCCUACCUACCUACUCACCUGCCCACCUACCCGUCGUCGUCGUCAUCACCUGACCGCGCAUCAGUCGCGGUACCUACAGCCGUACCCCGCCUAGGUCGACUCAGCCUCAAAUGAGUACCUGGUGGAUUGGUGUGUAGUAAACAACGCCAGUGGGGAGACAAAAGGCAGCGGGGCGUGGUGCUGGUCACCCCCCCCCCCCUCGUAUGCGCCUGCACAGUCACCCUAGCCUGAUGAUUGGUAAACUGCGCAUUAACCUGGUCUUCUGCGUAAGAACAUGGAUUUCUGGUCACCUAUCCUAGCCAUUCACACGUUUGGCUGGUUCACUGAUUACUGGAUUAUCUCGUUAUGUGGUUACCUGGCUAUUUUGUUGACCUGUUUACCCGGCUAUCAUAUUAAUUGGUCAUCUUGUUACCUGGUUGUUUCGUUACACAGUUACCCAACUACCUUACUAACUAGUUACUCUGGUACGUAGCUAUUGAGUUACCCGACUACUUGACUAUCCAGUUACCUGUUGAACUCACUCCCUGACCAUUCAUCUAUAAACUAUUUUUUUUACCAGCUAAGGCCCCACUGAGCCGCUCUGUCGCUUCUGGCCAUCACAAACGAUAGCAGCUCAACUGAGUUGGCGGCUUAUCAUCAUCAUCACCAUCACGUGGGAACUAUAACAAUAGAUUCCAUUGUUACUGGUGUGGCUGUAGCGGCCCCUAGUGGCUGCGGAUGUCACUGCGAAACUCUUAACACCGCGUACGAGGUAUGCAUGAGACCGUUCGGACCCAGCGGGUUGAAGUCAACGUUGAUCUUGAUUUGAAGCUUUCGUGACUGCAGGAAUCCAUACUCUUUGGUUCUUUCGGUAAAGUCACGUAGUAUAUUUUAUGUAUAACUACGUGACUUUACCGAAAGAACCAAAGAGUAUCAACGUUGAUUUUUUAUUCACACUCUCCGUGGCGGCCGUCUGGUACAAAUCUCAGAAUGUUGAUUUUAAAAUGCAGGAGUUAGGAGGAAUCCGAUGAGCUAGGAAGCUCUUGAUUUGUCCACAGAUGCCCCAGUAUGGGGCACAGAGGCCAUCGAGUUCCAAAAAACACAACAAACACAACACAUGUGAGGGAGCACGCCGCGAUAGGAGUGCAACAUAGAUAACACGGUAAGCGAGUCAGUAAAUAUCAAUAACUCAAUUAUAUAUAAGUCCGAUUUAUCGAGAUUGGGCAAGGCAUAAAAAAACAACAACACAAAUCUACCACACAAAGCGCCAUCAUCAUCACAUCGAUACUCAAAACUAAAACCACACACAAUUCUAUAGUACAAUGAGAUAACAUAAUAUUAAUAUAUUACUUAAUAAUAUAUAUAUACACAACCUCUUAAUCGCUGCGUAUAAGAGAGGCGCAUUGGCGACUCCUAUCUAUGAGUCUCUCGGCAGGGUUCGAUUUUUCGCCCAGGCGGCUACCUAGCGGGCAUUGUUACCACUUGUCGGCAUUGAUUGAUGUGGCACGGCAUCAUCAUCAACAAUAUCAACAACAAUGCAAUGCGGUGUGUGCAAGUCCUUCAAGGUCCCUCGGUUUGGUAGCUGUACGACUUUAACCGCUGACCAGCAGCAGCAGCAACAGCAGUAAACCCCACUGCCCUGAGAUCAAGAAACAAAAUCGAGAUGGAGUGAACCGGAGGACUCGUCGUGACUAUCGAUGGUCGACUGACACUGCUAGUGAGACUAGGCCAUAAAGAUGUCUGCUGUCUCUGGUAUAGGCCAAUCGGUUUCAAGGACAAUGCAUCAUACGAUCAAUGUGUUUUUUGUUUCCAUUCUGACCACAAGUAUUGUCGUUAAUGCAGACACGAUUCCUUGAGAAAGGUUUAAGUUUGGUGUUUUAACAACUCAACACAGCUGUUUUGUUGCCAGAACAAAUGGGAAAACCUCUUCUCAUUAUCGGAGCAUGUGUGUUUGCAUGUUUUUCCCGCAAAUGUGUGGUUAUUGCAGACUUGAUGAUGCCUUGCAAAAGGCAGAAUCUAUUCGGUGUUUGAACAUCUUAACACAACUCCUGUGUUAUUAUGGCCAGAAAGGUUAAAUACAACCUUUUGUUAUUUCUCCAUCGUUGUCGACUCGUCAUCACAUCCGAAAUGGGGGUAUUACCUCCUGGACCAGACAAAUGAAAAAUAACACACUCAACAUUCACAACAAACUAAAGCGUAAAACGAGUCUAACGGCGUACACGCGUAUCAAAUCUACACCCGUAUCUCAUAACAACAAUAUAAAUUAUAAAUAAUCAACUUUAUUUUUGCAUAUACUCAUGUUCGGAUUACCCCCCCCACCCCCACCGUAUAUAUGGAACUAUUUUAAUGGUCCUAUCGAUGGACUUGUGCCCCAGUCACGACCGAAGACAAUGCAUAAUCAGGAUACACACUGUGAUAUUAUUUAACAUUAAUUUGCACUUUUCUCCUUUUGAAAUGGUUUAUAUACUGUAUACUCUUUGGUUCUUUCGGUAAAGUCACGGGGAUAUAAAUAAAAUAAAUCAUAUGUAUGUUACGUACACUUUCGUUACGCCAUCGCUCACCGUGUGCUCUUUAACAGAAAUAAAGACUUCGAUUGGAA